GAUGAACGCUAGCUACAGGCUUAACACAUGCAAGUCGAGGGGCAGCAUGAAAGUUUGCUUGCAAACUUUUGAUGGCGACCGGCGCACGGGUGAGUAACACGUAUCCAACCUGCCUCAUACUCGGGGAUAGCCUUUCGAAAGAAAGAUUAAUACCCGAUGUCAUAGUCCUACCGCAUGAUGGGACUAUUAAAGAAUUUCGGUAUGGGAUGGGGAUGCGUUCCAUUAGUUAGGUGGCGGGGUAACGGCCCACCAAGACAACGAUGGAUAGGGGUUCUGAGAGGAAGGUCCCCCACAUUGGAACUGAGACACGGUCCAA
rnacentral:rRNA from 1 species